AUUAAUUGCUGCUUGUACAUUUAAUAGUUACGUUAGGCUUCCAGAAUCACUUUAAAUAGGACCCUAUUUUUUAAGAUGGGGGAAAAGUAAUUGGUAACCAGAUAGGCAGAAUAAAACACCCUUUUUUCUGUUAUACUCUAUCUUAGGUAAAGUGUGCAUUUUGUGUGUUCUUAGCAAUUGACAGUCUGCUUGAUCAGGUGUAUACAGGUGUACAUGCAAAUAGAACUGAGUCCUAUCAAAGUUAGAUUAUUUUUCUGAUUUUAUCUGUUUAACUUUUGGCAAUACAUUUAUUUUGAUACCCACCCUACUUGGAAGAGUGUAAGUACUUCCUUACAACGUUCUGUAAAAUGGUGCCUAGGAGACCUUUCUGUCCUUGGUUGCACAAAGCCCUUUUCAUUUCUACUAAGUUCACAAAUACUAGAAAUGGUUUACUAGCUUAUGAAAAUUUGGAAAAUAGAUUGACAUCUUUUUCGAGAAUGAAGUGAUAAGUUCGUAUAUUGAAGUAUAUAAAAUCAACUAGGAAGUAAAUUCAAGACCGAAGUAAUGUGAGGGUUUCUGUGAGCUUUGGUUGUGUCAGUCCAGAACAUGUAAUUUUCCAUUUCCCUGAAAAAGACUUCAGAGGACAUUUUAUUUUCCCCACUACGCACUCCAGGAUGUCUUUAGGUGAAAUGAGAGGGCUUGGACUGAUUCCGAAUGUAGCUGUCAGAGCUUGCUUAAUGAAAUACGGAUCUACUCACAAAUAAAAAUCAAUUUAUUCGUUUCUGAACAGUAGGCAACUUGUGGUUUCAUAACCAUUUCUGUUCAUUUGAGAAAAAUUGUAAAUCUACAGAAGAGGAAGUAUUCAUUUCAAAAAUAAGCUUUCAAUUUAGUUGGUAAGGCAUAUAUGUUUUAUUUUACAUGACUUCAUGGUAUCAGUGAAGAAACAUUUCUAUGAAAACUUACUGUUUAAGAAGCCAAUGUAUGCAGAGAUUGAUGACUUUGAUAUCGUCUGAGGGUGUGCCAUAUAAUAAAUAGGUGGUUGACAACAUACAGGACUUAAUUCCUAGAAGAAUUAAGAACAGAUAACCACCCAUUACGUUGACCUUUUUUUUAAAGUGAAAAAUAGAAACCUCUCAGAAUUAGUAUUUGCCUAUUAAUCAGUGUAGCCUUCGCAACAUAAAAGUACUUAACUGUCCUUAUUCUAGAAAAUGGAAGCGUAGGACAAAUGCAAUGGUUGAAAGCACUGAAAAAACUUGUAAAACAUCUGUGGUGCUCACAUAAACUUUAAUACUUAGAAAACUAGCUUCAUGAUUUUUUUGUUCUAAUGGCUUCCUUUUUAAGAAAACAUUUUAAAAAUGUUUAAAAAUGGAACAAUGUGUAAAAUAAGUUGUGUAAAAUGCCAGUAUUUGCGUGGUAGAGGAUAUUGGUAUACUAUAUUGGCCUGGCUUGAUGACUACUGGACUGUUUUAAGAUACCUACUUCCAAAACUUACUUUAUUCUAGAGGACCACUAAAAACCAGAAUUACAGCAAUCAUUUUAAUUUUCUACUUUCCUUGUUAAGGUCUUCUGCUUACCCAAAGAAUAGUGUAUUAUCUUUACAUGACUUUUAAAGGGGUGUCUUCAUCCCCAUCACAGAUUUUUAUCUAGGAAUAGAAGGAUUCAAACCCUAUUUGAUCCCUAGCUCUUUGCUGAAAAGUGCAUAAACAGGAAUCCUGAAUUUAUUAUAUAGACCUCCUCGCAUUAUGUAAUCGAAGCAAAGGGAAACCAGCGAUGGAGUAGAGGUACGUAGACUAAACAGAUGCCUGCAAAUCAAAUGAUGCUACGUAGGGAUCGUCACAUUUUCCCGUUGCAAGUCCAGAGAAGAGCUAGUUAAUUUUAAAUUUCCCGAGGUCGUUUUACUGAGAUGGAAAAGCACAAGUAGUCAAGGAAAACCAGAGAGGGAGGGCGAGGGAAGGGGGAGUACAUGAAGCACUCGUUUGUAAAAGUAGGUAUGAUAGAUAAGCCACAAGAAGUUUUUAAGACUACUAAUAACCAUAAUUCUAUUUUAAUCAGCUAUUUAGCUGGUACCUACUGCUAUAUCACCUAGUGUGACAUUUUGGAAUUAAUGGAACAAUGAAGGAAGCUGUACGCUGAAGGUUCCAAGAGGUCAUGGAAGGUUUCCAGUUUAUGCAAACUUCUGUGAAAAUGAGCUAACCUUGUUAUUGGUGAAGGCAUUGGAAAUUUUGCCAGCCAAGAGAGCUGCUCUCUUAUUCAGGGUAAGACGCCAUUGCAGUGUGCUAGCAUUGGAAGGGACCUGUUGUACACGUUACGUAUGUUAUACGUCAGCCCUCCAUGUCUUCUGGUUCCGCAUCCUUGGAUUCAACCAACUGGGGGUUGAAAAUACUGGA